rnacentral:misc_RNA from 1 species
GUGAAGAACGCAGCGAAAUGCGAUACGUAAUGUGAAUUGCAGAUUUCAGUGAAUCAUCGAAUCUUUGAACGCACAUUGCGCCCGCUAGUAUUCUGGCGGGCAUGCCUGUUCGAGCGUCAUUUCAACCAUCAAGCCCUAGGCUUGCGUUGGAGCCCUGCGGCUGCCGCAGGCUCCCAAAUCCAGUGGCGGGCUCGUCGUCGUACCGAGUGCAGUAAACAUCCUCGCUCAGGGAACGUGACGGGUUCUUGCCGUGAAACCCCCCACAUAUCAAGGUUGACCUCGGAUCAGGUAGGAAUACCCGCUGAACUUAAGCAUAUCAAUAAGCGGAGGA